CCGGCAACCGGCGCGCGGGUGAGUAACACGUAUGCAACCUGCCCGUCUCAGGGGGAUAAUCGUCGGAAACGGCGUCUAAUACCCCGUAUGAAGCUGGACGGCAUCGUCUGGUUUUGAAAGAAUAUCGGAGACGGAUGGGCAUGCGGCGCAUUAGCUAGUUGGCGGGGUAACGGCCCACCAAGGCGACGAUGCGUAGGGGUUCUGAGAGGAAGGUCCCCCACACUGGUACUGAGACACGGACCAGACUCCUACGGAAGGCAGCAG
rnacentral:rRNA from 1 species